rnacentral:rRNA from 1 species
GACGAACGCUGGCGGCGUGCUUAACACAUGCAGGUCGAACGGAAAGGCCCUGCUUUUGUGGGGUGCUCGAGUGGCGAACGGGUGAGUAACACGUGAGUAACCUGCCCUUGACUUUGGGAUAACUUCAGGAAACUGGGGCUAAUACCGGAUAGGAGCUCCUGCGGCAUGGUGGGGGUUGGAAAGUUUCGGCGGUUGGGGAUGGACUCGCGGCUUAUCAGCUUGUUGGUGGGGUAGUGGCUUACCAAGGCUUUGACGGGUAGCCGGCCUGAGAGGGUGACCGGCCACAUUGGGACUGAGAUACGGCCCAGACUCCUACGGGAGGCAGCAGUGGGGAAUAUUGCACAAUGGGCGGAAGCCUGAUGCAGCAACGCCGCGUGCGGGAUGACGGCCUUCGGGUUGUAAACCGCUUUCGCCUGUGACGAAGCGUGAGUGACGGUAAUGGGUAAAGAAGCACCGGCUAACUACGUG